UCUCUGCCAGUCGUUCUCAUAUUCUGUC
rnacentral:piRNA from 1 species